rnacentral:rRNA from 1 species
CUUGGCGGCGACCGGCGCACGGGUGAGUAACGCGUAUGCAACCUACCUUUAACAGAGGGAUAGCCCAUAGAAAUGUGGAUUAAUACCUCAUAGUUCUAUCAGAUCGCAUGAUUUGACAGAUAAAACUCCGGUGGUUAAAGAUGGGCAUGCGUGACAUUAGCUAGUUGGUAAGGUAACGGCUUACCAAGGCUACGAUGUCUAGGGGUUCUGAGAGGAUGAUCCCCCACACUGGUACUGAGACACGGACCAGACUCCUACGGGAGGCAGCAGUGAGGAAUAUUGGUCAAUGGGCGAAAGCCUGACGCAGCCACGCCGCGUGCAGGAUGACGGCCCUAUGGGUUGUAAACUGCUUUUAUACACCAAGAAAAAUCUCCACGUGUGGGUGUUUGAUGGUACCUGUUGAAUAAGCAUCGGCUAACUCCGUGCCAGCAGCCGCGGUAAUACGGAGGAUGCAAGCGUUAUCCGGAUUCAUUGGGUUUAAAGGGUGCGUAGGCGGCUUUUUAAGUCAGUGGUGAAAUCCUGCCGCUUAACGGUAGAAUUGCCAUUGAUACUGAAAAGCUUGAGUACAUUUGAGGUAAGCGGAAUGUGUAGUGUAGCGGUGAAAUGCUUAGAUAUGACACAGAACACCGAUUGCGAAGGCAGCUUACUAAGCCAUUACUGACGCUGAGGCACGAAAGCGUGGGGAUCGAACAGGAUUAGAUACCCUGGUAGUCCACGCCGUAAACGAUGAUCACUCGCUGUUUGCGAUACACAGCAAGCGGCCAAGCGAAAGCAUUAAGUGAGCCACCUGGGGAGUACGAUCGCAAGGUUGAAACUCAAAGGAAUUGACGGGGGCCCGCACAAGCGGAGGAACAUGUGGUUUAAUUCGAUGAUACGCGAGGAACCUUACCUGGGCUUGACAUCCCGAUCGUACCUGCUGGAAACAGUGGGGUCAGUUCGGCUGGAUCGGGAGUGCUGCAUGGUUGUCGUCAGCUCGUGCCGUGAGGUGUCGGGUUAAGUCCCAUAACGAGCGCAACCCUUAUCGUUAGUUGCCAGCGGGUCAAGCCGGGGACUCUAAGGAGACUGCCGGUGUUAAACCGGAGGAAGGUGGGGAUGACGUCAAGUCCUCAUGGCCCUUAUGUCCAGGGCUACACACGUGCUACAAUGGCCAAUACAAAGGGCAGCUACCAGGUGACUGGAUGCCAAUCUCUAAAGUUGGUCUCAGUUCGGAUCGAAGUCUGCAACCCGACUUCGUGAAGCUGGAUUCGCUAGUAAUCGCGCAUCAGCCAUGGCGCGGUGAAUACGUUCCCGGGCCUUGUACACACCGCCCGUCACACCA